rnacentral:rRNA from 1 species
AGGAUGAACGCUAGCGGCAGGCCUAAUACAUGCAAGCCGAACGGUAACAGGUUCUUCGGAACGCUGACGAGUGGCGGACGGGUGCGUAACGCGUAUGCAACUUGCCCACUACUGGGAAAUAGCCCGGGGAAACUCGGAUUAAUGUCCCAUAAUGCAGGGGAUUCGCAUGGAUCUAUUGUUAAAGAUUUAUUGGUAGUGGAUGGGCAUGCGUAGGAUUAGCUAGUUGGUAGUGUAAUGGACUACCAAGGCUACGAUCCUUAGGGGGUCUGAGAGGAUGAUCCCCCACACUGGUACUGAGAUACGGACCAGACUCCUACGGGAGGCAGCAGUAGGGAAUAUUGGGCAAUGGGUGAGAGCCUGACCCAGCCAUGCCGCGUGCAGGAAGACGGCCCUCAGGGUUGUAAACUGCUUUUCUACGGGAAGAAAGAGGUUGUGCGCAACCAGUUGACGGUACCGUAGGAAUAAGCACCGGCUAACUCCGUGCCAGCAGCCGCGGUAAUACGGAGGGUGCAAGCGUUGUCCGGAUUUAUUGGGUUUAAAGGGUACGUAGGCGGGCGUCUAAGUCAGUGGUGAAAGCCUACCGCUUAACGGUGGAAUUGCCAUUGAUACUGGAUGUCUUGAGUAUAGUAGAGGUGGGCGGAAUUCAUGGUGUAGCGGUGAAAUGCAUAGAUACCAUGAGGAACACCGAUAGGGAAGCCAGCUCACUAGACUAUUACUGACGCUCAGGUACGAAAGCGUGGGGAGCGAACAGGAUUA